GGCCUCGUAGCUCAGCCGGUAGAGCGUGUGCUGUUCAAAAGCGUAGGCUUCGUACAUGCGUCGGUUCGAAUCCCACCGGGGCUA
rnacentral:tRNA from 1 species